CUCACAGCAGAUCUCUCAAAAGUAAUCAUAACUUUAAAUUUGAGCUAAAAUGAUAAAAAAAUGAGAUAAAAUGAUCAUUCAACAGAUCACCUAUAUUAAGAUGGACCCACAAAAAUAUUUACACCCCCUCAAAUCUAAUCCUAAAUUUACACUUCUUUUUGUUGGCGUAAAGAUUUCAUUCUUCUGGCGCCACAAUAUUUUCACUUCCCCGCCGCGUCUCCCUCCAAAAAUUUUAUCAUCUUUCUUCACUUUUUUUCUAUCAUUCAAGACAUAAAUCUGUGAAGUUUAUUUCCAUUAAGAAAAAAAAGAAGCCCUAGAAGACAAUUUCAUCUCAAGUAAUUUCUUAUUAAUCAAUUGGAGAGCUCGAUCAUGUUAAGGAUAUAAUCAAGUGGGGAAGUGAAUACAUGCUCAAACUCUUCAUACCUCUGAAUUCAACCUCGGAUUUCGCCACUUUAUUCUCUCAGGUUGGAGGAGGUCACCAGACUCACCACCCGACGGACUCUUUUCCGGCCACACCACCACCCGAUCAGCGGGCUCUUCUCUGGCCACACCACCAUCCGUAGCAGCAGGUAAUUGUUUAAUGUUUUUCUUCUACAACUACAGUCCAAUACUUCGAUGGAAGUUCAAAUUUUGAAAGGAAAUAUUGCUAUGGAACAGAUUAUUGCUAAGGAGGAGAAUCAGGAGAUAGUGUAGCAAAACAAUGUAUUUAUAGAAUUGUAGUUAUUGUUCUUGAAUUCUUGCUGUUCUUGGAUUCUUGCUGUUCUUGGCAAAUAGGCAAAUAUUCAGAUUUGAAACAGAAAUUUGCUACUUCUUGUUCUUGGUCUUGCUAAUUGGUAGGAACAGAUUCAUUAUUCGAAA